GCGGACUGAGUAUUACAUCAGGUACUGGUGUCGAUAUUCGAAUCACAAACGAAUCGGGUUCCUUUGAUUAGCUUACCAGUACUUAUGUUAUGCUCUCUCCGC
rfam:Aedes albopictus isolate Foshan contig1728, whole genome shotgun sequence.